CGGCAGCACGGGAGCAAUCCUGGUGGCGAGUGGCGAACGGGUGAGUAAUAUAUCGGAACGUGCCCAGUCGUGGGGGAUAACGCAGCGAAAGCUGUGCUAAUACCGCAUACGAUCUCUGGAUGAAAGCGGGGGACUCGCAAGAGCCUCGCGCGAUUGGAGCGGCCGAUAUCAGAUUAGCUAGUUGGCGGGGUAAAAGCCCACCAAGGCGACGAUCUGUAGCUGGUCUGAGAGGACGACCAGCCACACUGGAACUGAGACACGGUCCAGACUCCUACGGGAGGCAGCAGUGGGGAAUUUUGGACAAUGGGCGCAAGCCUGAUCCAGCAAUGCCGCGUGCAGGAUGAAGGCCUUCGGGUUGUAAACUGCUUUUGUACGGAACGAAACGGUUCUUUCUAAUAAAGAGAGCUAAUGACGGUACCGUAAGAAUAAGCACCGGCUAACUACGUGCCAGCAGCCGCGGUAAUACGUAGGGUGCGAGCGUUAAUCGGAAUUACUGGGCGUAAAGCGUGCGCAGGCGGUGAUGUAAGACAGAUGUGAAAUCCCCGGGCUCAACCUGGGACCUGCAUUUGUGACUGCAUCGCUAGAGUACGGUAGAGGGGGAUGGAAUUCCGCGUGUAGCAGUGAAAUGCGUAGAUAUGCGGAGGAACACCGAUGGCGAAGGCAAUCCCCUGGACCUGUACUGACGCUCAUGCACGAAAGCGUGGGGAGCAAACAGGAUUAGAUACCCUGGUAGUCCACGCCCUAAACGAUGUCAACUGGUUGUUGGGUCUUUACUGACUCAGU
rnacentral:rRNA from 1 species